rnacentral:rRNA from 1 species
UACGUAGGGGGCGAGCGUCGUCCGGAUUUACUGGGCGUAAAGCGCGUGUAGGCGGGUGAUUAAGUUGGGUGUGAAAGCCCGGGGCUCAACCCCGGGAUGCCGCCCAAGACUGGUCUCCUUGAGGACGGAAGAGGGGAGUGGAAUUCCUGGUGUAGCGGUGAAAUGCGUAGAGAUCAGGAGGAACACCCGUGGCGAAGGCGGCUCCCUGGUCCGUUUCUGACGCUGAGACGCGAAAGCGCGGGGAGCGAACGGG